rnacentral:rRNA from 1 species
AGCCCAGAGCCUGAAUCAGUGUGUGUGUUAGUGGAAGCGUCUGGAAAGGCGCGCGAUACAGGGUGACAGCCCCGUACACAAAAAUGCACAUGCUGUGAGCUCGAUGAGUAGGGCGGGACACGUGGUAUCCUGUCUGAAUAUGGGGGGACCAUCCUCCAAGGCUAAAUACUCCUGACUGACCGAUAGUGAACCAGUACCGUGAGGGAAAGGCGAAAAGAACCCCGGCGAGGGGAGUGAAAAAGAACCUGAAACCGUGUACGUACAAGCAGUGGGAGCACGCUUAGGCGUGUGACUGCGUACCUUUUGUAUAAUGGGUCAGCGACUUAUAUUCUGUAGCAAGGUUAACCGAAUAGGGGAGCCGAAGGGAAACCGAGUCUUAACUGGGCGUUAAGUUGCAGGGUAUAGACCCGAAACCCGGUGAUCUAGCCAUGGGCAGGUUGAAGGUUGGGUAACACUAACUGGAGGACCGAACCGACUAAUGUUGAAAAAUUAGCGGAUGACUUGUGGCUGGGGGUGAAAGGCCAAUCAAACCGGGAGAUAGCUGGUUCUCCCCGAAAGCUAUUUAGGUAGCGCCUCGUGAAUUCAUCUCCGGGGGUAGAGCACUG